UACGAAGGGGGCUAGCGUUGCUCGGAAUGACUGGGCGUAAAGGGCGCGUAGGCGGUCAGCACAAGUCAGUUGUGAAAUCUCCGGGCUUAACUCGGAAAGGUCAACUGAUACUGUGCGACUAGAGUGCGGAAGGGGCAACUGGAAUUCUCGGUGUAGCGGUGAAAUGCGUAGAUAUCGUCUGGAACGCCGAAGGUGAAAACAGCUCGCUGGGGUUGUGCUGACGCUGAGACACGAAAGCCAGGGGAGCGAACGGG
rnacentral:rRNA from 1 species